GCCGGCCUGGAAGGCCGAACGGUCACAUGGAAUUGAGAACCUGCCAGAUCCUACCGAGGGCAGGCAGUGGGGGAAUAUUUGCUAAUGGGCGGGAAGCUGAUGCAGGCAACGCCGCGUGGAGGGAUGGCCGGCCUUCGGGUUGUAUACCUUCUUUUAGCAGGGAAGAAGCGAGAGUGACGGUACCUGCUGAAAAAAGCACCGGCUAAUUACGUGCCAGCAGCCGCGGUAAUACGUAGGGUGCAAGCGUUAUCCGGUAUUAUUGGGCGUAAAGAGCUCGUAGGCGGUCUGUCGCGUCUGCUGUGAAAUCCCGAGGCUCAACCUCGGGCUUGCAGUGGGUACGGGCAGACUAGAGUGCGGUAGGGGAGAUUGGAAUUCCUGGUGUAGCGGUGGAAUGCGCAGAUAUCAGGAGGAACACCGAUGGCGAAGGCAGAUCUCUGGGCCGUAACUGACGCUGAGGAGCGAAAGGGUGGGGAGCAAACAGGCUUAGAUACCCUGGUAGUCCACCCCGUAAACGUUGGGAACUAGUUGUGGGGUCCUUUCCACGGAUUCCGUGACGCAGCUAACGCAUUAAGUUCCCCGCCUGGGGAGUACGGCCGCAAGGCUAAAACUCAAAGGAAUUGACGGGGACCCGCACAAGCGGCGGAGCAUGCGGAUUAAUUCGAUGCAACGCGAAGAACCUUACCAAGGCUUGACAUACACGAGAACGGGCCAGAAAUGGUCAACUCUUUGGACACUCGUGAACAGGUGGUGCAUGGUUGUCGUCAGCUCGUGUCGUGAGAUGUUGGGUUAAGUCCCGCAACGAGCGCAACCCUCGUUCUAUGUUGCCAGCACGUAAUGGUGGGAACUCAUGGGAUACUGCCGGGGUCAACUCGGAGGAAGGUGGGGAUGACGUCAAAUCAUCAUGCCCCUUAUGUCUUGGGCUUCACGCAUGCUACAAUGGCCGGUACAAUGGGCUGCGAUACCGUAAGGUGGAGCGAAUCCCAAAAAGCCGGUCCCAGUUCGGAUUGAGGUCUGCAACUCGACCUCAUGAAGUCGGAGUCGCUAGUAAUCGCAGAUCAGCAACGCUGCGGUGAAUACGUUCCCGGGUCUUGUACACACCGCCCGUCAAGUCAUGAAAGUCGGUAACACCUGAAGCCGGUGGCCUAACCCC
rnacentral:rRNA from 1 species